UACGGGGGGGGCAAGCGUUGUUCGGAAUUACUGGGCGUAAAGGGCUCGUAGGCGGCCAACUAAGUCGGACGUGAAAUCCCCAGGCUCAACCUGGGAACUGCGUCCGAUACUGGAUGGCUUGAAUCCGGGAGAGGGAUGCAGAAUUCCAGGUGUAGCGGUGAAAUGCGUAGAUAUCUGGAGGAAUACCGGUGGCGAAGGCGGCAUCCUGGACCGGCAUUGACGCUGAGGAGCGAAAGCCAGGGGGAGCAAACGGGGAU
rnacentral:rRNA from 1 species